rnacentral:rRNA from 1 species
GAUGAACGCUGGCGGCGUGCCUAAUACAUGCAAGUCGAGCGAAGCGGGGGCGGGUGAGUAACACGUGGAUCACCUCCUAUAGGACUGGGAUAACUAAGGGAAACCGGAGCUAAAACGGCGACUUAUAGAUGAAUCUGCGCUGCAUGAGCUAGUUGGUAAGGUAACGGCUUACCAGGGCAACGAUGCAUAGCCGACCGGAGAGGGGGAUCGGCCACACUGGAACUGUGACAGGGUCCAGACUCCUACGGUAGGCAGCAGUAGGGAAUGUUCCGCAAUGGGCGAAAGCCUGACGGAGCAACGCCGCGUGAGUUAUGAAGGCCCGCGGAUCGGAAAACGCUCUUAGUAGGGAAGCGGUACCUACUCAAAAAGCACCGGCUAACUACGUGCCAGCCGCCGCGGUAAUAC